GAGCUCUGACGCUUUCCUGUCUGUGCUCCCUGCUAAUCGACUCACCAGCAUGAAGGUCUUGGCGCUGCUGUUACUGGUGGCAGUUUCCACCUUCCUGGUCUCGGGCCAGUCUACAGCCGGUGCUUCAUCUAAUAGCUCUAGUGAUGCCGCUGAUGCCGCCGCUUCUGUGGCCACCAGUGCCGGUGCCACCAAUGCUGCUCAAAUCGCCAUUCGACUUAGCCUCAUCGACCUCCUUAAGCAGCUGCUUGGUUGAAAUAUUACUACGAUGGAAUUAGCCUGGGCCUUCUGCAUUUGAUCCUGCUGGACUCAACCAUAAUGUCCAUUGAUUUGAUUUAAUUCAACUACUUACCAUGUGUUCCAUCUCUUUCUUAUCCCUAAUCAUUUUAUCUGUUUUCCAAUUAAAAUAACAUUGAGCAACA